GUGCUGUUUGUGGGCUGUGUGUGCUGUAUGUGUGUGUGCUGUAUGUUUGGGUGGAGGUGGGGGCAGACUAGUUAAUAUCCCAGUCCUGCUGCCUUCCCUGGUGGAGAGUGAACUCUAGCCCGGGUUGUCUGCUGCCUCCCUCCAUGCUGCUGUGGACCGGUGAGGUAGAACUUUGAUCUCCCCACCGGCCCAUGGAGGCUUAGACCAGAGCCGCCGCUCGGAUAGCGUCGGCUCUGCAUGAGCC